rnacentral:lncRNA from 1 species
AAAAAUAAUUCAAAUGUAUAUACUUGAAAUAAACUUCAACAAAAAAAAUAUAAUUUGCGUAGUACUAUACCCAUACUAAUAAAGCACUACUAUUUCAAGAAGUUCACAAGCAAUGAACUUUACAAAACCGAAUGUAUUUCAUCAAAUAAUAAUAAAUUGAAAAUUAAAUUUUGAACAUUAUUUAGGUCAAUAAAAAUUAUCUAGGCCAAAUUAAAUUUUGAACUUUGGGAAUCCUUGAGCAGUACCUUCUCCCCAACCAUGUAAGCAACAUCACAGACCUUCCUAUUGGCAUAACUCUUCUGUCUAGAGUGCACUAUGCGAAGCCGUUCCUGAAUCAUCUUAACCUUAUCCAAAGCAUCCCGGACCAAGUCAGUACCCAUUAGCCAACGCCUCUAAGUCAGAAUCCGGGCUAGAAACGACGCAUGCAUCCGUCGUCCGCUUGCCGACCGGCAGUAGGGGCCACAAUAUCAAUAACAAUAAACGUCACAAUUGUUCAAAAAGUAUGCAUCAUUCACGUCAAUAGGUCAAAUUGAUUUGUGGCCACAUUUUUAAUUGCAUCACUCGCAUUUUCCUGCACAUUCAAAAUGAAAUUAAAAAUUAGAAAAAAAAACCUAUAUAUAGUAUGCAUUGGUUAUAGCAACAUGUCUUACUAAUAACUAAUGAGGUUUAUUUCACUACUAAAACAUAACUAAGUCAAACACAAAAAAAGAGGUGCAAGCUAAGGAGAAGCAAAGUUGUGAAUUAAUAACUUGCUUACAUCCCAAAAUCACAGAAUGCUUUGCCUCGAUUUCGAUAUGAGCACAUGCAUAAUAAUAGUGAGAUUUGGAAAAGACAAGGAUUUCAACGUAUCCUACACUUGAAAGAGGUCAAAGAAUAUUCUAAUUCCCUUCAAAAGGUUUAGUACUUUGUGUAAGGGCAUAUUAUACCAAUUAUAUUCGUGAAAUAUAUUUUCCUUCCAUUCAUUCAUAACUCCUGUUAUUAUGUAAUGGAAUCAUCAAAAGCAAAUAGUUUAGAAAAACAUGGUCUUAUAAGUUUAGAGUGUGAAAUAUAAAUAUCUUUUCAAGACUCGGAGCAUGAGUUGAGCCAGAAGAAUGUGAUAGAUUUUGGCCACUCAUUCCUCGUACACUACUUGCAUCAACGGGUGAAGGAAGAUUAGAUCCGGCACACCCUUGUAUAUCAUGAAUAUUUAGUCCAGGGUUAUUUUGUACCAUUUGAACAAAAAAAUAUCGCAUUUCUUCUCUCAUUAUUUCCUUCAUUUCUUCCUUCAAAGAAGUUAUUUCAUUAGCAUGCUUUUGUUGAAGCUUGCUGAUUUCCUCAUCUUUUUUCAGAGAUCUUAUCGUCACCGAUCUACCAUAGCAUCUAACCGGACCAGGUUGCUCGUUUCCAAACACAAUCUUAAAUGCAUCAUCUGCUGUUUCUUGAAACUUUGACGAUUUUGAAGUUCAGACCGUUAAAAAGAAAUAUUACUGAAUAUCACUUAGUGGAUAUGCUAUAGAAAGUAAAAAAUAAUAACAUUUGAAUACAGAAAUGGAGCAGCUAUGCCGAAUAUUGUGUAGAAAUACAGUUGAAAAAUGCAAAAAUCCAGAAAGGCAGUGCAAAAAUAUAGAAGCACAUAGCAUACUGUGCUAGUGUGCUUAAUAGAACAAGUAAAGUUUCAACUGAACCUUUUGGAAUGUAAUACAUAUACUGAUUAGAGAAGUGGAAAUCAGUCUCCUUUGGUACCAGGUGACAGAUUUUCAGCUCCUCUGUGAUUUGAAAUUACCAUUACAUGACAGAAUUCUCAUAAUUUAUUGCUUAGUUAAUUCACUGCUUGUUACUUCUUUUCACAUCACUUAUUUUGCUAUUCUGGAAUCCGUAUGUAGCGAGUCCAUGCAUUAUAACUUCUGAUGGCUUUGUUGUAACCUAUGAAUGGUAAGAGACAUAACAACUUUAAGGAGUGUUUGAUUAUAGUAGUAUGACAUAUUUGUGGUAUAGAGGGAGUAAGUUUAUUUGGACUGACAAAAAGAAGAAACACGAACUAACCUAAUCCUUGAAAGAUUGAAUCGAUGUCUUGCCAAAAAUAGGAAAAUCUUGAUAAUACCAGUAGAUGACAGCUUAGUCAUGCUACGGAACUUAACUUCUUCCUCCUAGUAAAAUCUUUUUUCUUCUUCCACCUGAUAAAUAUAGAUAAUUUUCAGACAUGACCAACUUCAACUCAGUUCUGUACAAGUCCACACAUGUGAAUUGUGACCCCCACCUUCUAAAUGACCAUCCAAAAUAGCAGGAAUUCUCUUAACUUAAACACAAAUUUCACAUGUAGGUGUCAUAUGUGGAAGGGUAAAAAUUAGCUGAAGUAAUACUUACUUUGUCAAACACUAAUCACGUGGUAGAAAUUAUCUAAAAUAUGUUUUGACCAGAUCUGAUCAACUCUUUCUCGGCAACUUCACAGCCAACUUUCAGUAGCACAGAAAUAAAUCUCACAAUCUGCAAUUAAAAAGAAUAUCGAUAAGAACACAAAGAUAAAGGCUGACCUGAGAUUGUCAACUUAAUAAUUUAGCAAAGCUGCAAAGAUAAUUGGACAUAUAUGCUAAGAUUCUCUACUCAGCUUCUAUUUCACAUACUAAAAGCUGAUAAGAGAAGAUCAUAUUACGAAGUAUAUAACUUUGGAUAUCUUUUUGGCAUAACAUUAUUCAAAUAUAAAAUGAUCAAAUUGUAGAACAAUUGAAAGAUCAGCUCAUUGAAAUAGUAUAAUUUCUUAGUUUAAUUAUACGCCCUUAGUUGUAUAAAUAAGUAAAAAAAAAUGAUCUCAUGCUGCGUCUUCAAAAUCAAACUCAUCUUCUGAUAUCAAGGAAUAUUGAUUAAUACUCGAGCACAUAAAGGAGAAAAGCUCAUAGAAACAGAAAUACCUCUACGAAAUUUUAUAGUAUUAGAAAUUUAAUACGUCUAUCAAGUGAUUGCAAAUCAGAACAAACCAAAAGAAGAACUAAGGAAAUAGAAUUUUACACCCCAAGAAAACUCAAAUAUUAACUCUCAAACAAGAAUUCUGGUCAAGCGAUUUGCGUGUGACUAUCAUCUCUGACAAGGCUAUCCAAAAAUAGUUGACGAUUGAGUUUACUGGAGGUCGAACGGUGUUGUUGUUACAUAUUAUGUUACCUCAAAGUAUAGUGGAUAGCAGUUAAAGCUAGCUGCCUUAACUGAUUAGGGUAGGAAAACAAAACUUAGCAGAUGCCUCCCUUAAUCAUAAAAGAGUAAGAUAGCCCAUUUUGAGCUAAGAAGUUAUAAGAAUUGAGAACAAUACCAGUUUUGACUUAUGAGCUGUGAGAUUGUCAUAUUAGCUUAUAUAUAUGAUACUUUGAGUUUCACUACACUUACUUGAUAGCAUGCAUGUCUCUUUAAAAGUUAUUUUUGAGGGACCAGCCCCAAAAUAAAAUAUUAAUUCAAAGAAAGAAAAUAACAAGUUGCAAUGGCAACUUGUUUGCGAUAAGGGCGGCUAAAAUAAAGUUGCAAGUUGCAACAAGACCAAAACAGAAAUAAUUCUGGACGAUGCAAAUUGCAAAG